CGGUUACUCAGGAGAGUUUCGUAGUCCUCGGCGUCAGGGACUGAACGCUGGUCGGCGUGCUUAACACAUGCAAGUCGAACGAAGCACUUAAGACGGAUUACUCGGUUUGAAGUCUUAUUUGACUGAGUGGCGGACGGGUGAGUAACGCGUGGGUAACCUGCCUCAUACAGGGGGAUAACAGUUAGAAAUGACUGCUAAUACCGCAUAAGCGCACGGUCUCGCAUGGGACGGUGUGAAAAACUCCGGUGGUAUGAGAUGGACCCGCGUCUGAUUAGCUGGUUGGUGAGGUAAGGGCUCACCAAGGCGACGAUCAGUAGCCGGCCUGAGAGGGUGAACGGCCACAUUGGGACUGAGACACGGCCCAAACUCCUACGGGAGGCAGCAGUGGGGAAUAUUGCACAAUGGGGGGAAACCCUGAUGCAGCGACGCCGCGUGAAGGAAGAAGUAUUUCGGUAUGUAAACUUCUAUCAGCAGGGAAGAAAAUGACGGUACCUGACUAAGAAGCCCCGGCUAACUACGUG
rnacentral:rRNA from 1 species